UACGUAGGGCGCAAGCGUUAUCCGGAAUUAUUGGGCGUAAAGAGCUCGUAGGCGGUUUGUCGCGUCUGCCGUGAAAGUCCGGGGCUCAACUCCGGAUCUGCGGUGGGUACGGGCAGACUAGAGUGAUGUAGGGGAGACUGGAAUUCCUGGGUGUAGCGGUGAAAUGCGCAGAUAAUCAGGAGGAACACCGAUGGCGAAGGCAGGUCUCCUGGGCAUUAACUGACGCUGAGGAGCGAAAGCAUGGGGAGCGAACAGGA
rnacentral:rRNA from 1 species